ensembl:rRNA 5S_rRNA 5S ribosomal RNA
GCUUACGGCCAUACCACUCUGACAAAGCCUGAUCUCGUCUGACCUUGGAAGCAAAGCAGAGUUGGGCCUGGUUAGUACUUGGUUGGGAGACUGACUGGGAAUACUAGGUGCUGUAAGCU